GUUAAAAAGCUCGUAGUUGGAUUUCGGUUAAGAGCGACCGGUCCGCCGUUUGGUGUGCACUGGUUGGUUUUAACUUCCUGUAGAGGACGUGCUCUGGGCUUAACGGUCUGGACUCGGAGUCUACGUGGUUACUUUGAAAAGAUUAGAGUGUUCAAAGCGGGCUUACGCUUGAAUAUUUCAGCAUGGAAUAACACUAUAGGACUCCUGUCCUAUUUCGUUGGUCUCGGGACGGGAGUAAUGUUUAAGAGGAACAGUUGGGGGCAUUCGUAUUUCAUUGUCAGAGGUGAAAUUCUUGGAUUUAUGAAAGACGAACUCCUGCGAAAGCAUUUGCCAAGGAUGUUUUCAUUAAUCAAGAACGAAAGUUGGGGGCUCGAAGAUGAUUAGAUACCAUCCUAGUCUCAACCAUAAACGAUGCCGACUAGGGAUUGGCGGAUGUUAAUUGAUGACUCCGCCAGCACCUUAUGAGAAAUCAAAGUUUUUGGGUUCCGGGGGGAGUAUGGUCGCAAGGCUGAAACUUAAAGGAAUUGACGGAAGGGCACCACCAGGAGUGGAGCCUGCGGCUUAAUUUGAUUCAACCACGGGGAAACUUACCAGGUCCAAGCAUAUUGAGGAUUGACAGUUUAAUAGCCCUUUUCUUAAUUAUGUGGGUGGUGGUGCAUGGCCGUUCUUAGUG
rnacentral:rRNA from 1 species